rnacentral:rRNA from 1 species
GUGCACCAGGCGCGAAUUUUCUCAAUGGGGGAAACCCUGAAGGAGCGACGCCGCGUGGAGGAUGAAGGUCUUCGGGUUGUAAACUCCUGUCAUUUGGGAACAAGCGUCGGUAGGUAACUACUACCGGCUUGAUAGUACCAGAAGAGGAAGAGACGGCUAACUCUGUGCCAGCAGCCGCGGUAAUACAGAGGUCUCAAGCGUUGUUCGGAUUCAUUGGGCGUAAAGGGUGCGUAGGUGGCGCCGUAAGUGGGGUGUGAAAUUUCGGAGCUUAACUCCGAAACUGCAUUCCAUACUGCGGUGCUUGAGGACUGGAGAGGAGACUGGAAUUCAUGGUGUAGCAGUGAAAUGCGUAGAGAUCAUGAGGAAGACCAGUGGCGGAGGCGGGUCUCUGGACAGUUCCUGACACUGAUGCACGAAGGCCAGGGGGAGCAAACGGGAUUAGAUACCCCCGUAGU